GCCAGGUAUGGUGGCACACACCUGUAAUCCCAGCGGCUCGGGAGGCUGAGACAGGAGGAUCGCAAGUUCAAAGCCAGCCUCAGCAAUGGUGAGGUGCUAAACAACUCAGUGAGACCCUGUCUUUA
rnacentral:sRNA from 1 species